AGAGUUUGAUCCUGGCUCAGGAUGAACGCUGGCGGCGUGCUUAACACAUGCAAGUCGAACGGGAUCCUGCAAGCUUGCUUGCGGGUGAGAGUGGCGAACGGGUGAGUAAUGCGUGACCAACCUGCCCCAUGCUCCGGAAUAGCUCCUGGAAACGGGUGGUAAUGCCGGAUGCUCCCGCGCCCCGCAUGGGGUGUGGGGAAAGCUUUCGUGGCAUGGGAUGGGGUCGCGUCCUAUCAGCUUGUUGGCGGGGUGAGGGCCCACCAAGGCGUUGACGGGUAGCCGGCCUGAGAGGGCGACCGGCCACAUUGGGACUGAGAUACGGCCCAGACUCCUACGGGAGGCAGCAGUGGGGAAUAUUGCACAAUGGGCGCAAGCCUGAUGCAGCGACGCCGCGUGCGGGAUGGAGGCCUUCGGGUUGUAAACCGCUUUUGUUUGGGAGCAAGCCCUUCGGGGUGAGUGUACCUUUCGAAUAAGCACCGGCUAACUACGUGCCAGCAGCCGCGGUAAUACGUAGGGUGCGAGCGUUAUCCGGAAUUAUUGGGCGUAAAGGGCUCGUAGGCGGUUCGUCGCGUCCGGUGUGAAAGUCCAUCGCUUAACGGUGGAUCCGCGUCGGGUACGGGCGGGCUGGAGUGCGGUAGGGGAGACUGGAAUUCCCGGUGUAACGGUGGAAUGUGUAGAUAUCGGGAAGAACACCAAUGGCGAAGGCAGGUCUCUGGGCCGUUACUGACGCUGAGGAGCGAAAGCGUGGGGAGCGAACAGGAUUAGAUACCCUGGUAGUCC
rnacentral:rRNA from 1 species